rnacentral:rRNA from 1 species
AGCAGCCGCGGUAAUUCCAGCUCCAAUAGCGUAUAUUAAAGUUGCUGCAGUUAAAAAGCUCGUAGUUGAAUUUCGGGACCAUCAUGUCGGUCGUGCCUCGGUACGUACUGGCAUUGUUGGUUUCUCCCUUCUGACGAACCAUGAUGUCAUUUAUUUGGUGUCGUGGGAAAUCAGGACUGUUACUUUGAAAAAAUUAGAGUGUUUAAAGCAGGCUCACGCUUGAAUACAUUAGCAUGGAAUAAUGAAAUAGGACGUUUGAUUCUAUUUUGUUGGUUUCUAGGAUCGACGUAAUGAUUAAUAGGGAUAGUUGGGGGCAUUAGUAUUCAAUUGUCAGAGGUGAAAUUCUUGGAUUUUAUUGAAGACUAACUACUGCGAAAGCAUUUGCCAAGGAUGUUUUCAUUAAUCAAGAACGAAAGUUAGGGGAUCGAAGACGAUCAGAUACCGUCGUAGUCUUAACCAUAAACUAUGCCGACUAGGGAUCGGAUGAUGUUAAUUUUUAAUGACUCAUUC